rnacentral:lncRNA from 1 species
GUGGCUUGAGGCAGAGAAACCCUAUAGUGAGACUGUAUAAUAAUAUAAACUCAGGUGAAAAUGACAUGGAAUAAUGACUUUCAACUUGUCCCAAUAGUCACACUCUACAGAGCAACCAAAGGUUCUGGGUUCAAUCUUGGUUAGUGCAUCCCCAAGUAUUCGGGCCUGAGUAAUUAAAGUGCAGGUGGAUCUCCCUCCCUUUCUC